CCUUAAAAAAAAAAAAAGCAAGGUGAAAACUUAAAUACAUCCAAACCAGAAAAGACAAUACGAUAUAAAAUAUGAAAAAAUGGAAGGCACCACUUACAAGCAUUUGCUCUAGAACUCAACUUGUAAGUAGCCAUAACUGAGUAGUUACUUGCUAUCCAAGUGAAAAGAAAUACAGGAUGAGUUUGUUAAAAGUUAACCCAUGGGACUUGCACUUGGAUUGAGUUGAACUUCCAUACAAGGGAUUUACACUUUUUUCAUUAUCAAACAAACAAACAACCAGACUUGACAUGGACACCUAUCAUUUUUUGCUAACAAGAACAAUAUAAAAUGUUUGCUCAACGAGUAAUUUAUGUGCAUAGAAUAGAUAACAAUGAUACAAGUCAUCAAGGACAAGCAAAGAGCAAGCACGCUAUAAUUUUUAGCAAACCCAUUUUCACUUCUAUUGAUGAAAUAUGAAAGCUUAAUGAGAUGUAUUGUUGUUCUUGUUUAGCAACCAAAUAUCACUCUAUAGUAUAAAUCUUAAAGCAUGCACACGGUUCCAACACGUAACAUCAGAAUGACAACAUCACUGUAUUAGAUACAAUUGGAAUGCGUUUUCGGUCAUUUUUAGAAACACAAACAAUAAGAGAAAAUCUAAUUUUAAAGUGAAUUAAGUCACUUACUAUGGCAAAUGG
rnacentral:misc_RNA from 1 species